GGGAAUGGGUGCACUUAUUAGAUCGGAAGCCAGCCAACCGGCCCAUCGGCGCGGGUUGAGACACUUCUGGUGACUCUGGAUAAUUGUUACAGAUCGCAGUCGGCCUUGAGUCGGCGACGGGUCCUUCAAAUGUCUGCCCUAUCAACUYUCGAUGGUAGGUGACCUGCCUACCAU
rnacentral:rRNA from 1 species